rnacentral:rRNA from 1 species
CAACGUAAACAACCUGCCUUAAGGAUGGGGAUAACAGACGGAAACGACUGCUAAUACCGAAUACGUUCUAAGCGUCGCAUGGUGCAUAGAAGAAAGGGUGGCCUCUACAAGAAAGCUAUCGCCUUAAGAGGGGUUUGCGACUGAUUAGGUAGUUGGUGAGGUAACGGCUCACCAAGCCGACGAUCAGUAGCCGGUCUGAGAGGAUGAACGGCCACACUGGAACUGAGACACGGUCCAG